AGAGUUUGAUCCUGGCUCAGGAUGAACGCUGGCGGCGUGCCUAACACAUGCAAGUCGAGCGAACCCUUCGGGGUGAGCGGCGGACGGGUGAGUAACGCGUGGGUAACCUGCCCUGUACACACGGAUAACAUACCGAAAGGUAUGCUAAUACGAGAUAAUAUAUUUUAAUCGCAUGGUUAAGAUAUCAAAGCUCCGGCGGUACAGGAUGGACCCGCGUCUGAUUAGCUAGUUGGUGAGGUAAUGGCUCACCAAGGCGACGAUCAGUAGCCGACCUGAGAGGGUGAUCGGCCACACUGGAACUGAGACACGGUCCAGACUCCUACGGGAGGCAGCAGUGGGGAAUAUUGCACAAUGGGCGAAAGCCUGAUGCAGCAACGCCGCGUGAGCGAUGAAGGCCUUCGGGUCGUAAAGCUCUGUCCUCAAGGAAGAUAAUGACGGUACUUGAGGAGGAAGCCCCGGCUAACUACGUGCCAGCAGCCGCGGUAAUACGUAGGGGGCUAGCGUUAUCCGGAAUUACUGGGCGUAAAGGGUGCGUAGGCGGUCUUUCAAGCCAGAAGUGAAAGGCUACGGCUCAACCGUAGUAAGCUUUUGGAACUGUAAGACUUGAGUGCAGGAGAGGAGAGUGGAAUUCCUAGUGUAGCGGUGAAAUGCGUAGAUAUUCGCAAGAACACCGGUGGCGAACGCGGCCAACUGGACCAUUACUGACGCUGAGCGCGAAAGCGUGGGGAGCAAACAGGAUUAGAUACCCUGGUAGUCCACGCCGUAACGAUGAAUGCCAGCUGUUGGGGGUGCUUUGCACCCUCAGUAGCGCAGCUAACGGCUUUGGAGCACCGCCUGGGAAGUACGCUCGCAAGAGUGAAACUCAAAGGAAUUGACG
rnacentral:rRNA from 1 species